UUUUUUUUUUUUUUUUUUUUUUCAGUACCGGGAAAACAGGAGCGUGUGAUUGGGGUUUACAGUGUUUUCUCUCGCUCUCUCUGUUUCUAGGGAAUUCGGGCUGUGUUUAGCUGCUGGAAUAUCGUAGAAUUGGUUUUCAGAGAAGUUCCUCGACUCCUGAGGCGAAACAUAAAGGGAUGGGAGUGGUGUGGGAAGUGAUCGUGUGGGGAAAAAAAAGUUUCGAGCCCGUUUCGCAUUUGUGGAGACAGAGUUUUUGGUGUGACCACUCUUUUGUGGGAAACCCAAACCAAGGAGAACUCAGGAGAAUUGGCGCUCUUCGGUCCUGGAGGUUCCGCAGCUAACAUCCCGGCUUGACCAACUAUCGAGGCCGCAAAUUAAUAGGGCACCUCCUGGGAGGAAAACGCCCAUCCUGACUUCUCAACUGUGACAGUUUGCUCUGUCGCCCAGGAUGGAGUGCAGUGCAGUGGCGCGAUCCUGCAACCUCCGCCUCUCGAGUUCAAGCGAUUCUCCUGCCUCAGCCUCCCGAGUAGCUGGGAUUACAGACGCGCGCCACCCCACCCAGAUGAUCUUUUUAAAUGCAAAAUGCCAUCGACGCAGAAAAUCAAAGAAUCAGCUUAAGUUCCAGAAAAAAGAAAAACCAACCAAAUGAACAAUAAGACAACAACAACAACAACAAAAAAGGCCUUUUGGGAUUUUGGAUGAUAUUGCAUCAAAUCCAUACAUUAACCUGAGAGACGAGCGACUUCUUCAACAUUGAGCCUUCCAAUCAUGAUUUUCAAUUCAUUUAGGUCUUCUGUAAUGUUUCUUAAUAUAAUUGUAUUUGUUGCUAUGCAGAAGUUUCACUGAUCUUUUAUUAUAUCUCUAUAUAUAUUUGAUAUUUCUGACACUAUUGUAAAUAGUAUCUUUUUAAUAUUUCAUUUUCCUUUUUUGUUGCUUAAAUAUAUAUAAAAUAAGCUAAUUUUCCAAACUAAUUUUUAUAUCCAGCAACCCUGCUAAAAUUUCUUAUCCAAUAAAAAUAUAAAUGUA
rnacentral:lncRNA from 1 species